GGGGAUUGUCCCUGUAAUAAGUGCACUGUAUAAUACAUUGGUACUCAGAAGGUUGCUGGUUUGAUCCCCACAGUCACCACCAUUGUGUCCUUGAGUAAGGCACUUAACUCCAGGUUGCUCCGGGGGGAUUGUCCCUGUAAUAAGUGCUCUGUAUAAUACAUUGGUAAUCAGAAGGUUGCUGGUUUGAUCCCCACAGUCACCACCAUUGUGUCCUUGAGUAAGACACUUAACUCCAGGUUGCUCCGGGGGGAUUGUCCCUGUAAUAAGUGCACUGUAUAAUACAUUGGUACUCAGAAGGUUGCUGGUUUGAUCCCCACAGUCACCACCAUUGUGUCCUUGAGUAAGACACUUAACUCCAGGUUGCUCCGGGGGGAUUGUCCCUGUAAUAAGUGCACUGUAUAAUACAUUGGUACUCAGAAGGUUGCUGGUUUGAUCCCCACAGUCACCACCAUUGUGUCCUUGAGUAAGACACUUAACUCCAGGUUGCUCCGGGGGGAUUGUCCCUGUAAUAAGUGCACUGUAAGUCACUUUGGAUAAAAGCGUCUGCCAAAUGCAGAAAUGUAAAUAUUUUAAUUCAUCUCGAAGGAUUUCUGGGCUUUGUGCCGGACAAUCAUGAUCUUCCACAUCAGACUAACGAAAUCAUUUCUAUAUGAAUCUCACGUGUGCAUGGGGGCAUUCACAAACAGUUGAC